GGCCUUGCAGGGGAACCUGUCAGUGCUCCCUCUGGCCACAGACAGCCCCCAGCACCGUUCCAGCUGAGCUCCUCUGCCCUGCAUUCCCUCCCCCGGGCUGUAACACACUCACACACUGUUACAGCCCGAGGGAAUAGAAUGUAAGAACAUGUUGCUGGUAUUUGGGGGGCCCCCUUAGCGACUCCACUGCCUCCAAGCUAUACAUGUUAAGAAACUUUAACCUUUCAUUGUAAGUUUUAUCCUGCAAUCCAUGAACCAGUUUAGUAGCCCUUCUCUGAACCCUCUCUAAGGUAUCAAUAUCCUUCUGAAGAUACGGUCUCCAGUACUGUGUACAAUACUCCAAGUGAGGUCUCACCAGUGUUCUGUACUCUUUCUACUGCUAAUACCUCUCCCUAUACAACCAAGCAUUCUGCUAGCAUUUCCUGCUGCUCUAAGUUUUACCUUGCAGGACGAAGUGGGACAGGGACACUGCACCCAGACCACUGUAAUGAGAUGAUGUGAUCUUGAUGCCUAUAGUGUCCCUUUAAACUCAUCAUUGAGGGCUGCUACUAAUGUACAGAGAUGCAUUCAGGUGUUAAAGAGUAAAUUAAUGUUUUGAGAAUAUCCGUGGAAACCAGGUAUGUAACCGGACAAUGCUAUUUUUUAUAUGAAUAAAAUGUGAUAUUUAAAAAAAUAAAAA